rnacentral:tRNA from 1 species
AUUUAAAUAGUUUUAAUUAAAAUUUUGGUUUGUGGUACCAAAGAUAUAAAAAGUUUUAUUUUAAAUC